AAGCGCAGCAGCUCGGCGGCUGUGGCGCGGCCCAGGCCGCUGUUCGCACCCGUGAUCAGCACUGUCUUCCCGUGCAUGAGGCCGGAGUCCCCGCCUCGGUGCAGCCGCUGGACGCUGGGCCCCACGAACCGCCGGGCCGCCAGCCACAGGGCCCCACCCAGUGCGGCCAGUAACGCCGCCACGGUAGCCACUGCCAUGGCCGCCCGGGCCCAGGGCCCACCUGCCCCUGCGCGGGACUUCCGGGGUCGCCGGGCGCCCAGGUCUGAGCUCGCCACCUGUACGCAAAGAACGCUGGGGCGCGGCCUGUCGUCCCCUGACGGCGGCGUGGGGCAUGCUGGGACUUGUAGUCCCCCUUCCGAGGGCACCUGAUUGGUUAGUAGAGGACAGCGCUCUGCGCGGCUCCUCGGCGGAGCCGGCUCCCAGCCUGAGAGAGAGAAGGGUACAUGAGCUGUGAUGGUGCCAAAUUUCUGUGCCCCUUCAAUGUGGAACAUGUGGUCAUCAAAGAAGAUGUGGGGCCUUAUCUUCACCAAGAUGGGACCUUUGGGGGCUCCAGCAAGGAAAAGAGCUUCGUCUAUCUCUAGACCCCAGCGGCGAAGGGUUUUCAGCACGCGGGCGCCUGAACUGGCUGCACUCCUAGCUGUAACCAGGUCCAGCAAAGCAAGUAUGAAGCCAUCAGAAUUGCCUUCUUUUCUCUCAAGUCUCAGGAUGUGCCUCAUUCCAAACCGUAAGCUGGACACAGUGGAUGUGGAUAAUGUCCCCCAUGGAUAGAUUGGCAUGACGGCUAGAGAGGAGACACCAUCCCUGGACGCUUAGACCAUCGGCUCCCAUGACCUAGCACCAACUCACGACAAAGACUCUAAAAGUUUAUUUUACCCUAUAUUGUGGUCACAAACAUUUGUUAUUUGAAAGGGCUUGUAAAUUUUUUUUAAAAUGUCAACUCUGGAACAACAUGGGAAUUUUAAGCCUAAAAUCCAAGCUACUUUUAGAGAAUGGCUCCUGGGGGACACCUAAGGGUUAGACUGUGGACUCUGAUGUCUUCAGUUAAGGACAGUCCCCAAUUCCAGGGGAGACAGAGAAAGCCCAGCGGGCAUGGAUACCCAUGGAGGGACUGAGAGGUGGGCGGCAGGAAACCCCGCAGAGAGGGUCUUGGUGGAGGGGACCAGGUCAACGGAGUGGUUGAAGAGCUGCUUGCUGGGGUUGGUAUAAAUAUAGGGAAGAUGUAAGUGGUUUUCUUGGUGACACGUGAGCGUUCCCAGAGAAGAGGAGGAAGAAGUGGCAGUAGUAGCCGUGUGUUUGUUAUCGGUGGGAGUGGUGGUGGUGGUUUUAACCUCAGAUUCCCAGCCUGCCGAGCCAGGCUUGUCUAAAGCACGUCAAUAACUGCACUCACUCUCCUCUUCUUGAUAAGGCUGAUUUUACACCUCUGAUAGGCCCUGUUAGCCCCGCUCCAACCCCCCAAAAUAUCAGGGAGACAUUUCGUGGAUACCUUUCUUCUUUAGAGGUGACUCUGAGAACUUCACCCACCAGCUGGAGGAUGUUGGCAAUAAAUGUUAGAGGGGACAGAGAAGGUUCCUAGAGGGUGAGGAUAUUAGGCUUAGACUGUGCCACUAGAAUAAGCUCUUUUCAAUUUAAUUCAACCAACACUCACUGCAUACCCACCAGUAUCCCCAGACCGUGCCAGCCUUAAGAUGAUUCUGACAUGAAUAACAAGAACAGUCUUUCCUUCCGUGCCUCCAUGCUCCGAAAAGUUCCUGGAACACCUGUCCUUCCAAGUAUCCUCACUUUCGAGAGGCAUCAGGGUGUGGCAGGAAGACCAUGGGCUUCGGAGGCAAAUCCGGAUUCUGCUACUACCUAGCAGCAUAACUAUGAGAAAGCUACCCCAUCACUCUGAGCCUCAGUGUUUACAUUUGCAAAAUGUGGAUGGGAUCUAUUUUAGAUCAUAGCUGUGAAGGUUAACUAUCGGGCAGAUAAAGCAACUGGCAACCUGCCAGGUUCAGAGUAGGUGCUCAAUCAAUGGUGCCUAUUAUUGUCAUCAAUUUCCCUGUGGGCCCCCAACCCUGCUUCUCACUGCUCUCGCUGUCCCUGAAACUGUCCUUGUCAUCAGGACUACCAUUAUUCCUGUUCCUUUUGCCACCAUCCAAAGGUCCCCCAAUUAUGGGAAUAGUUUCCCCAGUAAUUAUAGCUGUUCACAAGACUUUUCAAAAACUAAUCUGGACUUUGGGGUAUUGUCAUCCCAUAAGAGAAAAACUUGAAAUGA